rnacentral:rRNA from 1 species
UGGGGAAUUUUGGACAAUGGGCGAAAGCCUGAUCCAGCAAUGCCGCGUGUGUGAAGAAGGCCUUCGGGUUGUAAAGCACUUUUGUCCGGAAAGAAAUCCUUGGCUCUAAUACAGCCGGGGGAUGACGGUACCGGAAGAAUAAGCACCGGCUAACUACGUGCCAGCAGCCGCGGUAAUACGUAGGGUGCAAGCGUUAAUCGGAAUUACUGGGCGUAAAGCGUGCGCAGGCGGUUUGCUAAGACCGAUGUGAAAUCCCCGGGCUCAACCUGGGAACUGCAUUGGUGACUGGCAGGCUAGAGUAUGGCAGAGGGGGGUAGAAUUCCACGUGUAGCAGUGAAAUGCGUAGAGAUGUGGAGGAAUACCGAUGGCGAAGGCAGCCCCCUGGGCCAAUACUGACGCUCAUGCACGAAAGCGUGGGGAGCAAACAGGAUUAGAUACCCUGGUAGUCCACGCCCUAAACGAUGUCAACUAGUUGUUGGGGAUUCAUUUCCUUAGUAACGUAGCUAACGCGUGAAGUUGACCGCCUGGGGAGUACGGUCGCAAGAUUAAAACUCAAAGGAAUUGAC